CUUAUAUCUUUUAUUAUCCAGAAAAUGAAUUUAACCCUUGAGGACUACAGACGCAGAUGCAGCCGUCCUGGAAAUAGCAUCAUCAAAAUCAUUGGCUAUUGUCUUUUAUUUUCAUUUUUGUUUCCUUCCAAAAAUUCUUGGUCAUUGCCUAUACAACAUGGCGUGAAAGGCAGGAAUCAAAAUCAGGUUAUUGCUCCGCCUUGUGGAGAUCAAGAAAGAAUCAAAGAAUUUCAAAACUGUUGUACUUCCCCAGUAACCUGUACAAAACCUAGUCAUCUAUAAAACAAUUGAAGGAAUAUUUACAAGAUAUAUACAUGUAUUGGUUAGUCUUCCAGGCCUUGUAUUUCACCCAUCAAUAUACGGUUGCUUGAAACUUUGAAGCCAAGGAGAGCCAGAUCUAUCUGCUUUCCUUUCUUCCCUUUCUUUUUCCCACUUCUUGCUGCUUGCGAACCACCAUCAGAUGACUCCAAAGCAGCCACAUUAGCUGCAUCAGCAUCAGAAAGAACCGGCUUUUUAAGCGCAUCUAUAAACAAUGUCUCUGAUACAGUCGCACCGUUGUAAGAUGAGACCCUUCUAAAACGCAUUUCUUUCUUCCCAGAUGCCAGAGUUUCACCUGCUGAGGUUGCUGCAACAUUUCCCUCAGACUCGUGCCCUUUUUCAUUAGAAGUUGGAAAGUUCAUUGAGCUUUUCUGCUUGCCAUUUGAGGCAGGGGCCACGUCUGACAGACCAUCUUGGGAAGAUAAAGCCCAUGAUACAGGUGGGUGUUUAUGUGAAGUGUUAUCAAGCCCUUUGUUUAUUAUAGAAGGUACACUGUUGAAAAGAAAAGACGAUUCCAUUACCGUCAGUGCAAGAAAAAUUAUAUCGUUAAACACAGAAAAAUACUACCACCAGAAGCAAAACAUCAACAUAACUAACUAUCAACUGAUGUUCAAUGUUAAAGCACUAGUAUUUACUAGGGAAAAUUCCUCCAAGACUCCAGUGUUGCUAAUAAUCACGAAAUACAUAAAGAGUUGGAAACAGCUUACCAUAAGCAAAAAUAUCAUAAUCACGUCACUGCAGCCUGUAAUGUGCUAAAGAUUUUUAUCAUAAUACAGAAAAAACACUGCACAUGCUAUUUGUGUUCCAGAUAUUUUCACAGAUCCAAGUUUUUACAUAGAAAAUAAAACAAUUUUCAAUAAAACAAUUUUCACUAUUUACAUUUUACAGUGUUUGGGCAGUUAAGAGAAUUGACUAGAAAACUUGUUUUCCUGGUUAAAGAAAAAUGAGUUAUUUUCAAGGAAAAUAACUUGUUAUUUCCAAUUGGAAAGUCAAUUUUUGUUUCAUAAAAAGCAAAUGACCCAUAAGAGAACCACACAAGAAUAUACACAUUAGUAUACCUAGGACCGCCAACCAUUUCCAGUUGUCAAUAGCCACUGACCACUACCACCAGUCAGCAGCAACAGCCACAAUUUAUCUUCUUUGUACUUUUCAAACGUAAACAAAUUUAAAACUACAACUGCAAAAUUGUCUUUUGAAGGUUAAAACAUUUCAAUCUUUGUAUUGUAUGAAAAUUAAAAAUUUUCUAUGCACUCCAAAUGCCCAAGAAUAAUUUCAAAUUGAUUUUCAGCAUCGCGUCCAACAACAGAAAUAAGUCACUCUCCUAGAAAAUGUUUUCCUCAAAAAGUAAUGUUUUACAAACACCUUUAUUAUCUGCAAAACAAAUAAAGCCUAAAUCAACGAUUACCAAAUGCACCAAGAUAUAUCAGGUUAACCACCCUAAGCAGAGAUAUAUGUAAUCCCAUUCAGCAGCUAAUUGGACACACAUGAUAACCACAAAUAAUAUCAUACACAGUGUCCUACAAAACCCUACAACUCAGUUGGUAUUAUUUCAUGAAAAGCAAACAUGAGAUAAUAAAUCCUUUAAAGCAGACUUUAGCAACUUAGCAGCCACAGCAUAAGUGUUAGAUUCAAACACUUUCAGCAUCCCCCCAGCAGCUUGAAAAAUAUGUGAUAAGAGCAUAUAUUUAUCAAAGCAAGGGACUAAAUUUUAUAAGACAAAAACUUGAAAACAAAGAAUCAACUCUUCUAUGAAUAACAGCUAAUAUUCAACUCAACCUCAUUAAAAACAACAAUUCUGUCGUUCAACAUAGCAGGAAAACCAGGAAAACCAUACCUAUCAUUAGAAACCUCCCCUCCAGAUGAUAUAUUGUUUCCCAUCUUGCAGCUGUAGAUGCCUUGAUUUCCGCCAGCAAUGCUUAGCAAACUAUGCCUGCUUGGUAUCCUCCCCAAAUCCGUUGCAGCUUCUGCCUGCUCAACCAAGUUGUCUUCAAUUUGUGAAGCUGACCUGCACAUUGGAACCAUAGCUUUGGACCCAUAUAUACUUCCCUUUCUUUCCAGUUCUGGCAAGUCUUCGUCCAAUGUUGAUUUACCAAUAAAUCUGGCAUCCACAUAACUAGUAUGAGAAGGAUCUCUUGCGCCUGACAAGAA
rnacentral:misc_RNA from 1 species